rfam:Thermoplasma acidophilum DSM 1728 complete genome
GCCGUCGUAGCUCAGCCUGGUAGAGCGCGUGCUUGGUAAGCACGAGUCGCGGGUCCAAACCCCGUCGGCGGCU